rnacentral:rRNA from 1 species
GACGGAGGAUGCAAGUGUUAUCCGGAAUCACUGGGCGUAAAGCGUCUGUAGGCGGUUUAAUAAGUCAACUGUUAAAUCUUGAGGCUCAACUUCAAAAUCGCAGUCGAAACUAUUAGACUAGAGUAUAGUAGGGGUAAAGGGAAUUUCCAGUGGAGCGGUGAAAUGCGUAGAGAUUGGAAAGAACACCAAUGGCGAAAGCGCUCUGCUGGGCCGACACUGACACUGAGAGACGAAAGCUAGGGGAGCGAAUGGG